UGUUCAAUCAUUUGUGUGUUUAUCUUUGUAGUCCGGGCAUUAAAAAAGUUACAAUAAUAGCUAUAGUUCUGUCAACGUUACAAAAACCUGCUGUAUUUAAAGAUAUUCAUCUAAGUAGAUAUACCUUCAUUUACCGGAGUACCUAGACAGGAACAGUAAUUUGAGCCGCGCCAUGAGAAAACCAACAAAGGAUUCAUGCUAUUCGCUUUCAAAGCCUGUUGGAAUUAGAGAAACCAUUAGCGAACAGAAUGCUGGUCUGGAUCUAUGCUGGUCGCAAACGCACUAUAUGUUGUUUUUCUCAUGGCGCGGCUCAUUUGAGUAAGCUACUUGCUGUGUGAUCAUGUGAGGCUGUGCUUAUUUUAUUACAUGAAGGUAAUGACCAACCCGGGGAUCUAUACACAGACAAAAAUGCCGGUUACGGGGUAGAUGCGCCCCUGACGUAUCAAUCAGGACCAAAGCAAACUGGUUGUGGUCUAUCACAACAACCUGGAUAUCCACUACAGCAACCUGGAUAUGUCCAGUUGCCCUACACCAACACCAGCACAACCGUGGUUGUUAAUCAACCUCAGACAGGGAAGGUGAUCAUUAAGGCACGCCACAAAGAUUACCUGUCGGCGUCAAUAUUUGCAUGUCUUUGCUGCUUCUGGCCAACAGGCAUUUGUGCUAUCUACUAUGCAAACGAGGCUAACAAUCUUGCGGGUGUUGGUGAUUACGAGGGAUCGAGAAGAAUGUCAGACAACGCCCGGAAGUUAGUGAUUACGAGUGUGAUCCUGGGAAUUAUUGCGAUCACUCUUUCGGUGGUGCUACGCAUUGUCUUGUUCAAGAACAAGUGCGAGUACUAGACAGAGAUGCAGGCUAUUUCGUCGUAGACCAUUCACAGAAUGAUGCUAACUUUUAACAGAAAAAUUUUCAUAUGAAGGAUGAAUAAACAUUGUUUGUACGUGUAUAUAGCAUUACAAAUUGUUUUGUAAUACUGAUACUGCUUUUCACCAUACUAGAGUUAUAUAGUUACAAAGGACAUUAUCAAAUCAAUCAAAGUAUUGCCAGUUUUUCGACUCCGUUCAAACAUAGCUCCGACUUAUGGUAAAGUUUUCAUAUAUGAAAGGGUUUCAAACAGUCGAACGCUCUGUCAUUAGACAACUCUUUUAGUUAUAGUGGAAACGAAGCGCAGCUAAGGAAAAAGGGUCAGCAUUCCCCGCAUAUUGCAGCAACAUAUAUACAUACAUGUAAAUGUGUCACAAGGACCCUGCGAUUUCAGUCGGUAGGUUGGUCGGUAUGUCUGCUGCCCGGUCGACCAUUCGGUUUCCGAUGAAGAAGUACAGACCGCCGACACUUUGUAGGAUAAUCGAAUGUGGUCAGAAAAUCCCUAUUGUUUUGGGGGUCAGAAUGUUAAAGGUUGAGGCUAUAGUGACCUUGAGAGGUUGAGGCUAUAGUGACCUUGAGACUUAAAACUGUUACCGCUGUUGAACCGGAUGACACUUGGGCCUUAAUUGGUCAAACAUCGAAGGAUGAUCGCCUAUGGUCAGUAAAUGACCACUGUUUUGAAGGUCAGUAGGACACGGACUUUGG
rnacentral:misc_RNA from 1 species